UGGGGAAUAUUGGGCAAUGGGCGCAAGCCUGACCCAGCAACGCCGCGUGAAGGAUGAAGGCCUUCGGGUUGUAAACUUUUGUUAUAAAGGACGAAGAUAGUGACGGUACUUUAUAAGGAAGCCCCGGCUAACUAUGUGCCAGCAGCCGCGGUAAUACAUAGGGGGCAAGCGUUGUCCGGAAUUACUGGGCGUAAAGGGAGCGUAGGUGGUUGAUUAAGUCACGUGUGAAAGCCUGAGGCUCAACCUCAGAAUUGCACCUGAUACUGGUCAACUAGAGUGUUGGAGAGGUAAGUGGAAUUCCUAGUGUAGCGGUGGAAUGCGUAGAUAUUAGGAGGAACAUCGGUGGCGAAGGCGGCUUACUGGACAAUAACUGACACUGAGGCUCGAAAGUGUGGGGAGCAAACAGG
rnacentral:rRNA from 2 species